rnacentral:rRNA from 1 species
GACGUAGGGCGCGAGCGUUGUCCGGAUUUAUUGGGCGUAAAGAGCUCGUAGGCGGCUCAUUGCGUCAACCGUGAAAUCCUGCUGCUCAACGGCAGGUCUGCGGUUGAUACGGGUGGGCUGGAGUUCGGUAGGGGAGACUGGAAUUCCUGGUGUAGCGGUGAAAUGCGCAGAUAUCAGGAAGAACACCCGUGGCGAAGGCGGUUCUCUGGGACGGUACUGACGCUGAGACGCGAAAGCGUGGGGAGCGAACAGG